GCGGCGGCGGCGGCGGGCCGGCCCCGCUCCUCCUCUCGGCGCCUCGCCGCUCCCUUCCCUCGCUGGCUCUUUCUCUCGCUCCCUCAUUUCUGUGUGGCUGGCCACCCCUCUCCCCAGUGCUGAGUGUCUGAGAGCCGUUGGCUGCUCUGAACCGUUUGGCUCCUUCCCUUAGUAACAGCUUUUACAUUCUGCCUCAAUUCCUCUUCAAUCUAAAUCACACACACACACAGAUAUUACUUUUUUUCCUCCUUCCUUGGGACUUAAUCUCUAAUCCCCCCCCCUUCUUUCCCCACCCUCCCCCUCCCCCCCCAGUCUCUGGCUUGGGAUAUAAUUGAAUAUCACAGCAGUAUUUGGUGGUUAUUUUUUUUCUUCCUCCUUCUGUUUUUUUUUCCUGUUUUUUUUUUCCUCCUCUUGGUGUGGACACCUCAGCUAAAAAAAUAUUAUACAUACAUAUAUGUGUAUAUAUAUAUAUACACACACAGACACACAUAUGCGUGUAUAUAUAUACCGAGCUGUAUAAAAAAAAAAGGAGGAGAGAAAAACAAGGGUGAAUUUCUUUUUUGCCUCCAUUCCAAAGGAAGGGGGGGGAGCAGCCACUCAGCCAUCAAUUGCAAGCAUCACCCUUCUGUGGCAAGAGGCACCUGA
rnacentral:lncRNA from 1 species